rnacentral:lncRNA from 1 species
CAGUGAUCUUCGUAUGAGCUCUUUCAAGAGUUUGCGUGGGCUAUCAGUUUGUGUUUCAGAAAAGCUGCUUAACGAAAUGGCCCUUGGCUCAAUAAUGGAAGACGGAGAAGCCACUCACUGAGUUAGCAGCUCACAUGGUCUGUGCAGCAGUGGGUGCUGUGGCCAAAUUGGACAGUCACGUUCCCAAACUUGGGAAUUGGGGUUUUGGAGUGGAAGCCCCCAGUCUGUUGCCUGAAGGAGUAAGCAAUCAGAUGCAGCAGCUCCUUGCACUCAGUCAGCAUGGGCUGAGACUUCUCACCUUUGGAGACACCUGUCUGGAGAGCUGCACCACCACCCUCAUCCUGCACCUUCCCAGUGUUACUUCCAGGUACCAUGCUGCUGUUCAGGCUGAGCAUGUGUCUGCAUCAAAACCUGUAGUCCAUGGAGAGAAUCUGCUCUGGUCUUAUUGGAGCCCUGCUGUGGUCAGCUCUGUGACAAACUUUGCAGAAUCACCAAGGUUGGAGAAGACUUCCAAGAUCAUCCAGUCCCACUGUCCACUUAUCACUAAUAUUUCCCACUAAACCAUGUCUCUCAAUACAACAUCUAAACGUUUCUUGAAUGCCUCCAGGGAUGGUGACUCCACCACCUCCCUGGGCAGCCCAUUCCAGUGCCUGAUCACUCUCUUGGAGAAAUUUUUCCUAAUGUCCAACUUGAAUCUCCCCUGGCACAACUUGAGGCCAUUCCCCUUGUCCUAUCUCUAGUUACAUGGGAGCAGAGGCUAACCCCCAUCUCACCACAGCCUCCUUUCAGGUAGUUGUAAAGAAUGAUAUAGUCUUUCCCGAGCCUUCUCUUCUCCAGACUGAAAAACCGCAGCUCCCUCAGCCACUUUGCCCUGAGCCUGUAGCAUUGCCUGUUUUUUUUUUUGUGGCCAAAGCUCAGGACCUGGCACUUGAUGUUGUUGAACUUCAGCCCAUCCAGAUCCUUAUGUAGGGCCUUCCUACCCUCAGGCAGAUUGAAACUUCUCCCUAACUUGCUAUCAUCUGCAAACUUAAUGAGGGUGCACUCAAUGUGCUCAUCCAGGUAAUCAAUAAAGAUAUUAAAUCAUAGAAUCA